GAAAAAUUGAAAUAUUUGUACUGAGAAAAAUGCCAUGUCCAACAAACUUAAUGCUAGUCCUAGAUUGUUUAGGUAGCUUUAUAAAGGCAGGGAGGAAGGAAGGGAAAGAAAGAGGGUAAAAAGAAAAAAUACAUAAAGGAGGCCUCCUUAUCCAGAAAUCAAUGAGAAAGGUUGGAGGCUUUGGUUCUGGAUACCCCAAAACUAUCUUUUCAAGUUGAUCAACAUUCUUUCAUCUCAUAGUGCUACUUUAUAUAUAUUGAGAUUGCAGAAAUUUAUGGCUGAUAUGUUUGUAGUUUGGUAUGUUGAGAAUGCUUUCAUAAUUAAGACAUACAUACAUUUUUUGUAGAUGCAUGUAAUCUCGAUGUUUGAACGUUUGAAUGAUUGACUGAAAAGAAGACACAAACAAUUUCAAACAGUGUCUCUGGUACCAGGACAAACCAGGAACAUUCUGAUCCUAGAGUUGUUUAAACAAAGACUGGAGAGUACUGCCUUCUUUGGCGUACCAGAACCCACAGUAAAGUGGUAAAUUACUGUGUAACCAGAUGGGACCUUCAAGUCCAACACUAUCAAAUUAUAAAGAAGAAUUUCAGUAGCAGCUCGGAUUACAACCUCACUCACUCCACUGAGCCACUCUGAGUAUUGCAAAACACUUAUAGGAUGCAGGUAUUGCUAGGUCUGUUGUCGUCUGGAUGAUUAUAGCACAAGUGAAACAGAAGACUAAGAGAUUUGAAGGCGUUAAUGCUGGAAAUAGUGAUGGAUAGUCACUAUAUUUCUGAGCUAGGGAAGAAAAUGAGGCCAGAAGAUAAUUUGGAAACCAGGAGAACUGAGACAAGGUGGGUUUAAAUCAAGUUUAGCUUAAAGCUGCCUUCUCACAUGUUUAAGUUUGGCCUACAGGUUUUUCUGUACAUCAUGAACUGUAAAAAGUGGAGGUAUACAGCCCACAUCCGUGCCAAUCA
rnacentral:lncRNA from 10 species